GUGGGGAAUCUUCCGCAAUGGACGAAAGUCUGAUGGAGCAACGCCGCGUGAGUGAAGAAGGGUUUCGGCUCGUAAAGCUCUGUUGUCGGGGACGAAUGUGCAGUAUUUGAAUAAAGUAGUGCAAUGACGGUACCUGACGAGGAAGCCACGGCUAACUACGUGCCAGCAGCCGCGGUAAUACGUAGGUGGCAAGCGUUGUCCGGAAUUAUUGGGCGUAAAGGGAGCGCAGGCGGGAAGGUAAGUCGGUCUUAAAAGUGCGGGGCUCAACCCCGUGAUGGGAUCGAAACUAUCUUUCUUGAGUGCAGGAGAGGAAAGUGGAAUUCCUAGUGUAGCGGUGAAAUGCGUAGAUAUUAGGAGGAACACCAGUGGCGAAGGCGACUUUCUGGACUGUAACUGACGCUGAGGCUCGAAAGCCAGGGGAGCGAACGGGAUUAGAAACCCGGGUAGUCC
rnacentral:rRNA from 1 species